CCACCAGUUGAAAUUAAAUCUGCUCAAACAGAUCUAGAUCUAACAACAACAAAUAAGGAAAAAAUAAAGAGAGAAAGAGUAAGAACCAGGGGGAGAGAGAGAACAAGAAGAAAAAAAACCUUAAGCUCUACAAUUGUAAGAUCGGAACCAGUGAAGAGUUUAGAGAGUUACUAGAAGAAAGAAGAACAAAGUAGAGAACUUUGGUCUUUUUAGUAGCGAAAUGAAGUUUCAGCUGUGGCAGCAAGGGGCAAG
rnacentral:lncRNA from 1 species